rnacentral:rRNA from 1 species
GGAUUCCCCUAGUAGCGGCGAGCGAACAGGGAUGAGCCCAGCACCGAACCUCGCGCCCGGUCGAGCGGGUGCCGAGGAAUGUGGUGUUCGGGAAGAUCGUGCGCGCCUGUCCGGUAUCUAUCGUCCAAGUCUCCAUGAACGGGGCGAGCAACCCACAGAGGGUGUCAGGCCCGUAGAUUCAGACGAGCCGAGACCGUGCAUUGGAUCUUUCCCAAGAGUCGGGUUGCUUGAGCGUGCAGCCCUAAGCGGGAGGUAAACUCCUUCUAAGGCUAAAUAUCGCCACGAGACCGAUAGCGAACAAGUACCGCGAGGGAAAGUUGAAAAGAACUUUGAAGAGAGAGUUCAAGAGUGCGUGAAACCGUUCAGGGGGUUAAACGGGUGGGCCCUCGAAGGUCGAACGAGCCCCCGCUCCCGGCACUUGGUUGCAUGCCCCYCUUAGYCGCGAGAGACGGCCCGUAAUCGGUCGCUCGAUCGUAGGCAUGGGGGACCGCAUUAGCCGCGCCAAGGUCCGCUAGUGGGGGGCCAAGUAGGACUCCGCGACCGACUGGAUGCCUGUCACACGGGGCGAAUCGUUAGCACUUUGAUUCGGGCGGUUUCGGCCGUCUGGUUUUUGUGCGCGACCGUCUCCCGACAGUGCUGUCCGGUCGUGACCUGUGUACCUUCUGGUGCUCGGUUUACCGAGCAGCUGGAGGCCCAGAGCGGAGAGUAGUAGUCGGGUCCCACCCGACCCGUCUUGAAACACGGACCAAGGAGUCUAACAUGUGCGCGAGUCGUCGAGUCUGUCACGAAACUCGCGAGGCGUAAUGAAAGUGAAACGGCCCCGAUGAGGGUGUUCCGUGAGGGGUGAUCUCGUCUCGAAUAGAGCGAGCGCAACCCCUGGGCGUUCGGAGUCGCGAGGCGGCGGGGAUUCGUUYCCGUCCGUCGAGUCGACCGAACGAACCGAGAGCGUACACGUUGGGACCCGAAAGAUGGUGACCUAUGCCUGGCCAGGACGAAGCCAGGGGAAACCCUGGUGGAGGUCCGCAGCGAUUCUGACGUGCAAAUCGAUCGUCGGAGUUGGGUAUAGGGGCGAAAGACUAAUCGAACCAUCUAGUAGCUGGUUCCCCCCGAAGUUUCCCUCAGGAUAGCUGGUGCUCGCAAAGAGAACAAACGGAGUUUCAUCCGGUAAAGCGAAUGAUUAGAGGCCUUGGGGUCGAAACGACCUCAACCUAUUCUCAAACUUUCAAUGGGUGAGAAGCCCGGCCUAGAUACCUUGAGUUGAGGCCGCGGCAAUCUGAAUUAAGAAUCUGAGCGCCCAGUGGGCCAUUUUUGGUAAGCAGAACUGGCGCUGUGGGAUGAACCAAACGCUCGGUUAAGGCGCCUAAACGACGCACAUUUCGGAUCCCACGAAAAGGAGUUGGUUGCUAAAGACAGCAGGACGGUGGCCAUGGAGGUCGGAAUCCGCUCAGGAGUGUGUAACAACUCACCUGCCGAAGCAACUAGCCCUUAAAAUGGGAGGCGCUAUAGCGUCGUGCCUAUACCGAGCCGUCGGUCGGCAGCGAGAAUAACGCCGUGUAACGCUCGUAGAGAGCGACGGCGCGGAGGCCCCGACGAGUAGGGGGGUCGCGACGGUGAGCGUUGAAGGGUUGUGGGCGCGAGCCUGCCUGGAGCCGCCGUCGGUGCAGAUCUUGGUGGUAGUAGCAAAUACUCCAGAGGGAUCCUGGAGGACUGACGCGGAGAAGGGUUUCAUGUGAACAGUGGUUGGACAUGAGUCAGUCGAUCCUAAGCCGCAGGCGAAAGCCGACCUAGUGACGGGCGUGAUUAAUGGAGAAGUUUUUGGNNNNNNNNNNNNNAAACUGNNNNNUUGNUGUUGUUGUUGUUGUCNNCUUNNNNNNNNNNNNNNNNNNNNNNNNNNNNNNNNNUUUUUGCGCGCACGCGGGAACAAAAAACCAACCUUAAACACCGAUACGCCAACCUGGUUCAAGGCGAAAGGGAAUCCGGUCCUGAUUCCGGAACCGAGCUGCGGCUACGUCCGCGAUGACACGACUUCAACCCUCGUAAAUUCACGGUCGCGGUAACGCGAUACAAACCGGAGAAGCUGCUGAGAACCCCGGGAAGAGUUUUCUUUUCUGCUUGAGGGACCGAGACCCUGGAAUCCCGUCGUGGGGCGAGAGGGUUACGGAUUUAGCUGUCAAAGGCUAUCCCGAAGAGCGCCGCGUUUCUGCGGCGUCCGUGGUCGUUCUCAGCUGGCCCUUGAAAAUCCGGUGGGAGGGUUACGUUGUUGGACGUUCGCGCUCGCUCGUACCGAUUCCGCAUCA